rnacentral:lncRNA from 1 species
GCUGAAAUAAAUGAAUGAAGGGUACCAAUUUAUUUUUGCUUUUAACGACCAUGUCACUUUGCACCAGAAGUCCGUAUUUACGUGGAAUCUAGCUGUUUAGCUAAAUUUGCAUAAGAUGUCACAUGAGCUUAUGUCAUUACUUUGCGUCCUUCGUUCAUCUGUAAACUUCUAACAUUUCAAAAAUAAUACUGAUAAACACUUGAAAAUAAGAACAGAAAAACAAACACAAUAUAAAUUUCAAAAAAUACGAAAGAUAAUGAGUUGUACAAGUUAUUAUCUUUUU